ACCCCCCCCCGCACCCCCCAGGCAGCAGGCCCGGGUCUAGGGGCAGCGGGACCCAGGCUGUGCUGACCAUGUGCCCCCCCCCCCCGCACCCCCCAGGCAGCAGGCCCGGGUCUAGGGGCAGCGGGACCCAGGCUGUGCUGACCAUGUGCCCCCCCACCCCCAGGCAGCAGGCCCGGGUCUAGGGGCAGCGGGACCCUGGGCUGUGCUGACCAUGUGCCCCCCCCCCCCGCACCCCCCAGGCAGCAGGCCCGGGUCUAGGGGCAGCGGGACCCAGGCUGUGCUGACCAUGUGCCCCCCCCCCCCCCAAGCAGCAGGCUCGGGUCUAGGGGCAGCAGGACCCUGGGCUGUGCUGACCAUGUGCCCCCCCCGCACCCCCCAGGCAGCAGGCCCGGGUCUAGGGGCAGCGGGACCCAGGCUGUGCUGACCAUGUGCCCCCCCCGCACCCCCCAGGCAGCAGGCCCGGGUCUAGGGGCAGCGGGACCCAGGCUGUGCUGACCAUGUGCCCCCCCCCCCCCCCGCACCCCCCAGGCAGCAGGCCCGGGUCUAGGGGCAGCGGGACCCAGGGCUGUGCUGACCAUGUGCCCCCCCCCCCCCCCGCCCCAGGCAGCAGGCCCGGGUCUAGGGGCAGCGGGACCCAGGAGCGCGGCCCCCCGGCCGUCCCGGACCUGCUCCCUCCCCGCAGCUCUGACAAGCCCGCACCCACAGUGUCCGGAGACUAAAGGUGCCCGCAUGCGGGCCCCAAGCAGGGUUUUGGGGAAGGAACGGGGGACUGGACGGAGGCUGUCCCACGGGACCCGAGCGCGCAGAACCGACACAGGCACUGCGGGCCGCCGGCGGUAGAGACCGACGUCCUCGGUGCCCGGGUCCGCUCUCCUCCGGGUCGGGUGGCUUUCCCCAAACACUGUCCGCCUCGGGCCCGGUAGGAGUGCGGGGGGACGGGCGAGCGCCGCCCGGAGGGACAGCGGGGGCCUCAGAAAGCGGUGCGCGCGGAUGGGGAGGCGGGGGGGGCCCCGGGCGGGAGACCGGGCGGGGACGCGGAGGGCGACGGGGCGGGGGACGCGGCGGGGGACGGGGGGCGGGGGACGGGGCGGGGGACUCAGCGGCCGGGCCGCCGUCCGGAGGCCGCGGUGUCGGGCUGCCCCUGCCCUCCCCGCCGCCGCCCUCUCCGCGCCCCCGGCUGCCGCUCGCCCCGCCCCGGCCCCCGCCUGGCUCCCGGCCCCCGCCUGGCUCCCGGCCCCCGCCUCGCUCCCGGCCCCCGCCUCCUGCGCCGUCGGCGGCUCCGCGGUGCCGGGUCCCGCCCGGCGCGCCACUUACCCGCCGCGAUGGGAUUUACGUAGCGGCCGUCGUCACUGCUUACGGGCGGGGCCAAAAGUAGCGCAGCAGCCGACCGAACCGCGUCCUCGCGUCCCGCCCUCCCCUCCCCCCUCCCCCUCUCCCUCUCGGCGACGGCCUCCCCGGGGACGCCCGGCGGAAGAAAAUCCAGGCUCGAACCCUGCCCCCUGCCGGCCUCCAGCGGGAGUG
rnacentral:lncRNA from 1 species